rnacentral:rRNA from 1 species
GCAGCUUGCUGCUUUGCUGACGAGUGGCGGACGGGUGAGUAAUGUCUGGGAAACUGCCCGAUGGAGGGGGAUAACUACUGGAAACGGUAGCUAAUACCGCAUAACGUCGCAAGACCAAAGAGGGGGACCUUAGGGCCUCUUGCCAUCGGAUGUGCCCAGAUGGGAUUAGCUAGUAGGUGGGGUAAAGGCUCACCUAGGCGACGAUCCCUAGCUGGUCUGAGAGGAUGACCAGCCACACUGGAACUGAGACACGGUCCAGACUCCUACGGGAGGCAGCAGUGGGGAAUAUUGCACAAUGGGCGCAAGCCUGAUGCAGCCAUGCCGCGUGUAUGAAGAAGGCCUUCGGGUUGUAAAGUACUUUCAGC